rnacentral:misc_RNA from 1 species
UGAAGUUGGCAAUAGCAAACAUCCGAGCAGCUGAAAUGAUCAGUAUCAGAUGAAAGUGGUGCUGGGAAAGCAAGGCAAGACUGGGUUUCGCCGUCUCCCUGGUUCAAUCUUUAUCCGGAGAAAUGCCAUCAAUAAGUAUAGAGAAGGCCAUUAUAGUCAUGCAACAGGGAUCCAUUCCAAGCCGCCAUUAUUAUUGUCUCAGCUCUAAUCUUGUUUUAAGCUUCAUCAACUUCCCUUGUCAAAAUGAAUUUUUGUCACCCUCCUUGAGACCCUUUCUACGCACAAACCGGAGCAAUUCGAAGCCAUUGAUUUCAGCUCUUCAGACGCGAUCAAGGGCAUUUUCCUGUUCCUGCGAAUGGAGAGUGUGAAGUUCCACUGUUCCAGUUCUCAUUUACUCCAUAUUACACGUUGGAAUUAGACCAAAGGCUUGUCAACGCUCAGGUACAACCCUACUUAUUGUCCCUUCCAACUUUCCUUGGGUAAUCGGUAGCAGAGUUUGUUGAAAGUGAUGGACUAGUGGAUCUACCUUCUACCCUUAAAAGGCAGGAGACUCGCUUUAUUUAUUUCAGACAAUAUAUGAGAUCCAAGAAAUGCGUUAAGUGAAGCAAUAAAACCCACCAAUAUGCAAUGGUGAUUCGUGAACAGAGUAAUUGAAAGAUUUAGGGGUUCAAUAAAUAGAAUACGGAGUAGCAGGUUGUUUAAUGUCUAAGCUUUGAGUACUUGAGAACCAAAUAAUUAAGGUGAUGAUAGAGCCGCAAAAGAUUGCAAGUAUUUGUAAGAGUAAAGCAAUCAUGAUUAUGAAUGCUAAAAAGUAACAGCAAAUAAGAAAUUAGUUAUACCUGUUGUGAUUGGGAGUAGGGUUAGGUUGGAGGCAGAGGAGUAUUAAGAGGAAGCAGGAAGAGAUAG